GAGAUAUGGCUACACAUCCUGAAAGUUUACAGUCUAAAAUAAGAAGACAAACAACUCUGAUGUUAUUGCAGACAAAGAAUAUUGCAUAUCAUGAAAUUAAACAGUCCCAGUGGGAGAGAGAUUUGCUUGGGUCUGUGGAUAAGAUUGGCAGAAAUUCAUCCCCUGAGAGUAACAGUAUAAAAUAUGAGCUUAGAACAACAUUAAUUACCAUACAUUUAAUAAUUUAAAUUAUGUGUACUUCAUCUGUGCCUCAAUUAACACCAGACUAGCCCAUUUAUUUCAGGACUUGAAUAUCUUCUCUACUAUCUGGAUUUCUGCUGUAAUACUGAUAGACUAACAUUUUAUGACCAAUUCCUGCUUCUCAGGAAUUUUCAUUCUUUAAAAUAGCUCCUUGUAGCAGUUAUCUUGAACUCACAAUAGCUUCACAUCAAGAAUUCAGAGGUAUCGAAUGACUGUUAUUUUAACAUCAUUUGUGUAUUCAGUUCCACAGAAUUAUGAAAUGUGAUUAGGAGAAGGGGUUUAGAGAAUUUAAGUGUAAGACAUUUCACAGUCAUUAGCAACAUCAGCAAAGCCCAGUUGGACCAACACAGGAAGGCAGAGAGAAAUGCUCCUAUUUUUCUAGUGUUCUGGAGUGGUUUUUCCAUUUGUUGAUUCUAGACAUUUUUUCCAAGCAAAACCUAGUUCCAGGAGCAUGGGAAAUCGCCCUAGAUUUGCAUUCAUACACUGUGGAGGACAAAAACCUGAUCCUACACAAUAAAUCAUUUUCCAUUUCAUUUCAAUAUGGAACCGCAUGACAGUACACUGGGGAAAAUGGAAAUGUAAUGGUAUCACAGCUGCUCAUGGGCAUGUUAGCAGGAGGACAAACCCAAGAUAAUACUGAGUUCAGAAGUUCAGUUCCAGCACAGGGUUAUAAAAACUGAAUUACAACCUUUGCUGGACUCAAAUCCUUGGAGCAACGACUCCCCUGACAGACACACAUAGACAUAGACACACACACACACGGUGUCUUGUGUCCUACAGCAGGAAUUACUGGGGUGCUUCAAAUGGCAGCUUUCAAGAGUGAGUAUUUCUGCCCUUCCCUUGCUAUCUUCAAUAAUUUCUCAGAAGACCCAUGACCUUAUUAUUUCUCAGAAAAUUAUGGAAGUUGCAAACCAACAGAACACCAGUUUUGGAAUACCUUUAAAUCCCAUUUGUUAGCAUAAUGGAAAUGUGCAUGAUGCAUGUACACAUAUUAAUAGCUCUUUUUGCAGGAAUAAAAUAGUCUAAGUGUACAUCUAAGUGUACUUCUCAGUGUAUGUAAAAACCUAUUGGAUUUUAAUGCCUCAGGGUGUGAAAAAUCAACAUUUAACCCAAGGUUCUCACCAUGUUUGGAUGGAAGCAUCACUCCUACAUCAAAAUGGCUAGCUGGAAGAAUGGGAAUGAGAGAAAUGUUGUGGAGAAUGUGCAGGGUCCAGCUCCUCCCAUAAACUCAUGCACCUUUACUGGCUGACAAACAGACUGCCCCAAAAAGCACAACCUCAGUCAGGAUAAGGCUUUGUGAUGGUUUUCACACUGCUAAAGGUAUUUGUAGGAAAUGGAGCUCCCUGGGGCCUGAUGCCCACCAGCAACUUCACCCACACUCCACAGUUCAGAGCAAGCAGAGCCACAACAGGAAUCUUUCCUGAUUCUUGUUUUAAUGGCUGAUCCUGGAUUUCUUUGCUGUUUUAAUUCAGAGCAGAGCCUGCUGCAGGAAGAAGGCGUGGGGAGAGGGCUAGGGUCACUCAUGUAUCUCCUGGCAGGGUUCCUGCCCACUACAGCUGAAACCAUGGAGGUUUUUGUGGGACAGCAAAGGAACAGACCCGUAGGGAAAGGCCAAAGGAGACACCAAAGUAAUUUAGCAAAAUGCUGGGUUUGUUGCUGUGACUUGCUGCUGUGCUCCUUUCUGACAGUGAUCCAAGGAAACUGUCAGACCACCAGAGGCCAUGUACUGAAGAGAUUUAUUGACUUAUGUGGCCACAAAAAGACCUAGUUGGUGCUGUGUUCAGUGGGUCUCUAAUUUAUUUCUACUUGCUAUUUUCCUAACAAGAUUUUCCAUCUCUCUCACACUCUCCCUUUGUCCCUCUCUCUCUCUCACACUCUCUCUCCCCCCAUCUAUCUUUUCCAUCUGAGAACCUAAAAUUAGGCUUUUAAAUAUGAAUGUAAGGUUGCCAAACACUGCAGUAGGGUUUGGCAACACUUGGACUAUUACUGAAUUCCUCAUUGUAGUGAACAUCUCACUGCAAUAUGACAAUAUAUUCUAAAGCAAUGGAUUUCAUAGCAACAAUGAACUCCAUCCCAAUCCAGGGCAAUUAGCUGAAUGCAAUAUCCACCACACCUCUGCCUCACAGAAGAUAUCCAUCACAAUUUGGCCAAAAGCACUGCAAUGGUUACAUGUCAUUGUGAUUUAGCAAAACCAGUCAAACUAAAGAGCUACUGAAAUACAGUCACUGAAAUAUGCUUCCUUCAACACACCUUGCAUAAUAUUUCUCCUCCCAAAUUUAUGUUUCUAUUCUCAUCUUUAGGAAUCACUAGAACUACAGCUCCCCUCUUUUAAUCUAGGGUCACUUCUCACUCUUUUGGUUGGCCCACCAUAGUCUUAUGCCAUUCCAGCAUCUUUUCACUACAAGAAAAAUCUAUUUACCAGUUUGUACUAUGCAUUUCCUUUUCCUUCAUGCUUAGAUUUUACUCAAACACUUCUAUACUUACACAGUAAUCUACAACAAACUGAAAAAAAAAAUCUCUUUAAAACUGAUUUCUUUCCAGAAGGGAAGGAAAUAGGUUUUGCUACUGUUUCCUUUAUAGGAUCCCCUUAGGGGCUUGCAUAGAUACGUUUUGCUGCAGGCUUACUGCAUUGCCUGUGAUUUCCACUCAAAGGACCCUGCAACAAACAAAAAUCAUAAUCUUUUUCCCCCUGUCUAUCUCACACAAUAUCAGAGAGCAGAGAAGAACACUCAUUUGUCUUUUUUAAAAUGAUAUUUUAAUUACUCAUGUCACGCCUCAGCAAAAUGGCAAGCCUUUUGUUAAAAUGGGGCUUAAUUGCAUUACGAAGCCUUCAUGGGACCCUUGCACAUAAAGCGCUUUUCUUCAGACUUUCAAGACCUAAAUUUGCAGUUGGCUCCUGACCAGCGCACUCGAGCAGAUAGGCACGUAGGUAGCGGGCAGACCCCGUGUUGAUGAAGUAAUCAUAAUUGACUGCCUCGCAUGUGCUAUCCCACAGAUUUGCCCACAAACAAAAAUUGCAUCUGCACGUUGGUUUUCAUUUUGAAUUCGUUCAGGAAGAAAACCUAACCUAAAAAAAGAACCCCAGCCCUUAGUAUGUCAGAAAGCAUGGAGACACCUUCACGGACUGUUGGCUACGCCUCAACAAAGCUUUGCAACAAUCUGUUAGACAAAAAAGAGACUGAUGCAGAUACCUUAAUAAGCAUCCCAUCUGUGAGGUCAUCGGGAUAUUUCAAACAACUUUCAGCUCUCAUUAGUUUAGUGGACUCCACAAGCUUGUUCUUAUCUUUUGUAACUUUUGCAGCCAAACUUCCUGGGAAAGCCUCUGAGCUGGGUGACAUUCCUACCCAUGGGUCAGUCUGCAGUAAUGAGCCGCCAAUUUAUGUGUCCUUUGCACUCGCAGGCAGUAUAUGUUUAUAUUAACCUUUACGUUGAGAAUUUUUUCCUUUAUCUGUGUAAUUCUCUGGGUUCUACCAUGCAAAUCUCGUUUUUUCUAAUAGGCUGCAAUUAGGAUAUCCAAGCUGUUGAUCACAGUCAUUUGCAACAGUGAGGAGCAUUUUCCGAGAAUAAAUGGUUGUUUUUUGGGUUUUUUUUUACUAUGUUUGUGAUGGAAUGUGUAACAGGGAUUAUGCCUGAAAAGUAAGAGUGACUAGUGGAGUUGCAGACUCAUGGGAAUCCUUAUCAGCUCUCUGGUUUUGUACCUUCAAUUAACACAGGAGGUAUAGCAUAGUCUGUUGCUUCACAUAAAACACACCAUGCGUGACGUUGCACGGAAAUGAGAUUUACAGUUUUUCAAGUCUGCUAGGCCUGAAUGAGUAAAUGGGUAUUUAUUACAAUUUCUUACAGUUUUAUGCACUUGAAAGGGAUAAAGCAGGUUCAUCAGCACUUGCCCACAUGUUAGGUCUUCAUUGCACUAAUGAGUACCCCUUUAAAGGGGACGUUGUAAUGCUAUUUUCUUUUCUAAGAACUCCCAUGUCCAUAUUCAGAAUUUGCUGGACUGAACCAUUCUACUGCUUAAGGUACAAGAGGGUAAUAUUCACAGUCCUUAUUCAGAUCCUUCUUUGGCUGCUGCUGUUUUCUGAGUUUUGCAUGAAGGCCGUGGGUGGAAAAAGAGAACUGGUGAAACACUGAUAACAGAUGGACGCAGUAUGAAGAAAUAAGAAGAACGUUUGUCUGCAGGACCACAAAAGGAGUGGAGUAAUCAACAUUCAGACUAAAGUUUCCGUGGGAAUGCUGAAGUAGCAUAAAAAUAGGGAAGAGAUUACAGGAAAAUGCCUGAAUGGGAGCAGUGCAAACGAGGAGUAAAUUCUCAAAGAUUACCAUCAUCUGAAAAUUCCAAGAUGUGAAGUUGAAGAUAGUGUCCUGUAGGCAGGUGGAACACCACCUCUGGCAACAUCCAAAUAGUCUGAAAGAAUCAAGCAUUGAAUUUCUUUCAGCAACCUGUACUUAAGCUGAUUGAUGUCCCAUAUGGAGAAACUUCAAGGGUUGACAACUGCUUCCAGAAUUAAGCCACAUUUCUACAGAUUUAAAUGAUAAAUUGAUAUCUCUCUGUUACAUUAAAAAAAAUAAAGUUUUUUUUUUU